UACGGGGGGAGCAAGCGUUGUUCGGAUUUACUGGGCGUAAAGGGCGCGUAGGCGGCCACCUCAAGUCAGUUGUGAAAUCUCUGGGCUUAACCCAGAAAGGUCAACUGAUACUGCGGGGCUAGAGUGCAGAAGGGGCAACUGGAAUUCUCGGUGUAGCGGUGAAAUGCGUAGAUAUCGGAAGGAACACCAAUGGCGAAGGCAGCCGCCUGGGCCUGAUCUGACACUGAGACACGAAAGCGUGGGGAUCAAACAGG
rnacentral:rRNA from 1 species